AGACUUAGCCCGAAGUUACUGAGCUCUUUUAAAAGGAUGUCUGCGUACUCCAUAAACAGCUCUGAGGUAAAGGCAAGUGGGGAGAAGUGAGGAAGGACAAGUCUCAUUUCUGACUGCAGAGGAAAGACAGUGAAGAAGAAUGAAUUGGAGGAUGCAGAUGAUAUCCCUGAGAGCUCUGUUCCCAUUAGAGGACACUCUUACCAAAGAAGGAAUGAGAAGAAUGAAAAAAGAAACAAACUGCAAUGAACUUCUAAGGCAGCGCAGCACCAGGACAUGAAGAAAGUGGUAAAGUGGUUCCACUCUGAACAAGAGCAGGGGAGGAAACAAAGCCUAAUACUAAGAAUCUCUGUUGCCAAGCUAUGAAUCUUAGACGUUGUCAAGUAUUUUUGUGCCUAUGUACUGCACGAAAUGGCUCACUAGCACAACUUUGCUGUUAGUCACUGCUCUUUUAUUUUUUUUUUUUUCUCAGAAAGCUUGCAACAUAUGAGCUUAGUUACUCAGCUAUGGGAUUUCAAUCAGAGCUUGUUUUGAAUUCUUAUUGUGCAUGCAGACUGCAAAAUGUGCCAAAUACUUCUGGCUGAUUAGAAGGUAUUUCAAAGAUGUGAAUAAAGUUUGCAUGAGCUAUAAGGAGUUGUGAGGGAAGAAGGUCAGUAUCCACAACACUAAUUAGCCACAAAGCACUUGUCCACUGAGAAAGCAAAUUGUAAUUUUAGCUCUGGGAAUGUUUUCACAUUUGCCAGCUCACAUAUUGUGCAGUGACUCAUCAAAAUGGAUGGCGUUAGUCAUUUGCUGUUUCAACUAACAAAUACGAGAAAACAUGGAUUAUGUUAACAAUGGUUAAACGAAAAUAUGGUGAGCUUUCCUCUAGGAAAGAAAAAAGUUUUUAAGGUAUGUUUUUAUGUUCCUUCUGGAAAGACAGAAUAACACGUCUUAUUCUAUAUUAUCAAUAAAUUACAACAUCUCUGCCAACAUAAAGAUCUGUGAUAAUUUUUUUGCAUUUAACUCAAAUAAUCAAAAAAAUUAUUCUAUACUUGCGAUAUGGUGCAUUCAUUCUUAUGCCCUCUAUUUUUUUUUUUUCCUUCCUCGAAACUUAUUGUCAGUAUUGUUCAGUUGUAAUUUGUUAGAGGGGGAUACUGUAAUUGCCUCUGUAGAAUAUUGGCAAAAAUAUACAAGGAUUGGAGGUUGUCCAUCUCUCCACAUUAUUAGCAAAGUUUUACAUAACUCAUAAUUAUCUGCAGAAUAAGUUCUCUAUUAAAAUUUUGGAAAAAAGGAAACUUGGAGAAAAUUACUUGUUAUAUUAAAUUUCCUGAAGAAGAAACUUCAGUCCUGGGAAAAAGCCAUAGCUGAAUUUCAGGGUAACCUGGCCAACACUGUGUUUUUAGGAAAACUGAAAGGAAUUUUAGUCAACCUAGUGCCUGUAGGGUUUUGUUAUUGUUGAGAAAAUGUUAUAUGGUACUUUUCCCCAGACAGGUUAAUUGCAAUAGAUCACCUGCAUUCUGCUGUCAGAGAUGUUUGAGAGAUGGAAGAUAAUAUAAUCAAAUUCUAAUCUAAAAUUCAUGUGUAAACCCUGAUAGCUUUGAAAUAAAUGUCCUUCAUUUUAUAAGAACUGAAAACCUAAUGUGAUGUUUUAGCUAGGAAUUAAAGAAAAUUCCUUGAUUAACUAAUCCAUCUCCAGAACUAGUAUGAAUUAUUCUGUGGUCGAAUUCAAACUUUAUUGUUCUAAAAUAAUUACAUACUGCCUAGCUCUUGUACAGAAAUGAGUAUGAGAGACAUUUGACAGCAGCAUAGAUGCAUAUGUGCAUCUAUCUGGAAAGUUUUCUGAACGAAGAGGCACAAGGAGCAGAAGGGAGGUGUCCAGGGUGUUGAGAUAUAAUGAAAGAGUAUGGUUAUGAAAUCCCAGAGUCAUCUGUAAAGUUUAUUCUUAAGACAAUCAUACUGACCUAAAAGUGUACAACUAGAAAGUAAAAUCUAUACUAUGUGUUACAUUAUAGGCUAUAAAAAUGUAAACACAGAUUGAAGCAUGCUUUAUUAAUGAUUUUUUAAAACUAUUGAGAUCUUAGAGGAACAAAGCUGGCAGAGUUCCUGUUUAAAAAGCUAAAAGAUAAAAUAUGUAGUUAAAACAAUAAAUUAUACAUCAAUGUGAUUUAUAAUUUAUUGGUUAUAAAAGUUUUAUCACAGAAAGAAGAACAGGAUACAUGUAAAUAC
ensembl:lncRNA